rnacentral:rRNA from 1 species
UACGUAGGGUGCAAGCGUUGUUCGGAAUUACUGGGCGUAAAGCGCGCGUAGGCGGCUUUGUAAGUCAGAGGUGAAAUCCCGGGGCUCAACUCCGGAACUGCCUUUGAAACUGCAUCGCUUGAAUGUCGGAGAGGUGAGUGGAAUUCCGAGUGUAGAGGUGAAAUUCGUAGAUAUUCGGAAGAACACCAGUGGCGAAGGCGGCUCACUGGACGACUAUUGACGCUGAGGUGCGAAAGCGUGGGGAGCAAACAGG